rnacentral:tRNA from 1 species
GCCAACUUAGCUCACCAGGUAGAGCAGUUCCCUCGUAAAGAACAGGUAAACGGUUCAAGUCCGUUAGUUGGCU